AGUGAACGCUGGCGGUAGGCCUAACACAUGCAAGUCGAACGGCAGCACAGUAAGAGCUUGCUCUUACGGGUGGCGAGUGGCGGACGGGUGAGGAAUACAUCGGAAUCUACUUUUUCGUGGGGGAUAACGUAGGUAAACUUACGCUAAUACCGCAUACGACCUACGGGUGAAAGCAGGGGAUCUUCGGACCUUGCGCGAUUGAAUGAGCCGAUGUCGGAUUAGCUAGUUGGCGGGGUAAAGGCCCACCAAGGCGACGAUCCGUAGCUGGUCUGAGAGGAUGAUCGGCCACACUGGAACUGGGACACGGUCCAGACUCCUACGGGAGGCAGCAGUGGGGAAUAUUGGGCAAUGGGCGCAAGCCUGAUCCAGCCAUACCGCGUGGGUGAAGAAGGCCUUCGGGUUGUAAAGCCCUUUUGUUGGGAAAGAAAAGCAGCAGGUUAAUACCCCGCUGUUCUGACGGUACCCAAAGAAUAAGCACCGGCUAACUUCGUG
rnacentral:rRNA from 1 species